rnacentral:rRNA from 1 species
UACGGGGGGGGCAAGCGUUGUUCGGAAUUACUGGGCGUAAAGGGCGCGUAGGCGGACAGUUUAGUCAGAGGUGAAAGCCCAGGGCUCAACCUUGGAAUUGCCUUUGAUACUGGCUGUCUUGAGUUCGGGAGAGGUGAGUGGAAUGCCGAGUGUAGAGGUGAAAUUCGUAGAUAUUCGCAAGAACACCAGUGGCGAAGGCGGCUCACUGGCCCGGUACUGACGCUGAGGUGCGAAAGCGUGGGGAGCAAACAGG